UUUUUCCUUUUCCCCUAAACCCUAUCUCUCUCUCUUUCUCACUUCUCACAGCCGCAACACUCACCCUCCAACUUCCUCUCCCUCACGCUCGGCGAACAGCGUGAACGGCGCGAUAAUGUGGGGGCUUAGGGGCUGGUCAUGGGCAAACGGCACAAACGAUAGGGGCUCGGGGGUCUUGGCUGGCUCGGUCUCGCGCAGGGGUCGUGGGUGGCUCAGUCUCGCAGAGGGGUCGUGGGUGGUGGUGUAGGUAGCGGCGCAACAAUGUGGCUGGGCUCUUUGUCCUCUCGUUCAUUUCUUCAGACAUAUCCGAGUUCCACAUCUCCAAAGGUCCUCAAUCUCCACAUCGUCGACUUCUACAGUUCCAAAGCUCCCAAUGUAUGAAGAGGAAGAAGAACUUGAAAUGCUUCUGGAAAACUAUCUCCAAAGUUGUUUCUGGAAUAGCCCCCUCAACAACUCUUAUAGCAGAGUUAUCUAAGUAUUGGUCAAACAAUUUAACAAGCAAAGAGGAUGUUGCUGGAGCAAUUUCUGAUGGCUUUAAAACCACCGCAUUGCCAGCUGGUAUGAAUGUUUUGUUUUGGAUAUUAUUCAGCUGGUAGGAGUGAAACAAGAAGGGAAAGAUGCAGUGCUCUUUCUGAGCAUGAUGGUACAAGUCGGAACAUAUAAUAAAUGAGUUGAACAUAAACUUGGUGAUAACAACGCCGUGCCACGAGGAGAUCUUGCCCAUUAACUCGUGGAGCACUCAGAGACCUUACACAUUAAAGGGAUAUUCGUAUUCGGAGGGAGUAUGUAUGGAGAAGACGAAGGAGAGAGUGAAAAGAAAAAAAAUGUUUCUUUGGCAAUCUUGGCUCGGGGUUGUAGUUUAAGGUUCAUGUUAUAGUGACAUUCUGAUUUUAAUUAUUUGUUUUAUUUGACAGUGCAAUAUUCUCACAUGUAAGGGGUAGAAGUUUUAGUCUACUUGAUUAGUUGUUGGAAGAUGUUGAAGUUUUACCCUUUACUUGUAGUUGCUAAGACAACCCUGCAUCAUAAUCCACCUGUUUAGUUUAUAGGUUUUGGAGAUUGACAAAUUAUAAUUUGUUUAUGGUAUGUAUAAAAUAUGUGUCGUCAUGUUGUUGUUUGUCUAUUAUUGUGACACUAUAAUAUUAAUAUCGUUCAUGUUCUUGCUAAUAUAAUUUGUCAAGUUUUGAAUGUGUUGUGGUUUGUUAUGAACUUUGAUUUGUAUUAAAAUUUGGGGUUUUCAUUUAAAUCAUAAUUUUUAAUUUAAAAUAAAUAUAUAUUAAUUUUUUAAAAUAUAUUUUUUCAAAGGGAUAUAUUUUUUUUAAAUCAAAAUGAAAAUUAUAGCUGCAUUUUUUAAAAAAAAAUUACUUUUAAGGGCAUGCAAAUCGAGUCCUAAAAUCUUAAUUUAAAGACACUCAAUGAUAUCUUUUAGGACUUGCAUUGCAAGUCCUAAAAACAUUCUUUUAGGACUUGCGUUGCGAGUCUUAAAAAAUUACUUAAAGGCACUCAACCCGAUUUUUUAGGACUCAUGUUGCGAGUCCUAAAAACAUUCUUUUAGGACUUGCGUUGCGAGUCCUAAAAACUUACUUGAAGGCACUCAACGAUAGUUUUUAGGACUCUCAACGCGAGUCCUAAAAACAUUCUUUUAGGACUCGCAAUGCAAGUCCUAAAAAACCUCAGUUUUUAAGGCUCUCAGAUAGAGGACUCGCACCACGCGAGUCCUAAAAUCUUUUUUAGGACUCACAAUGCUAGUCCUAAAAAGUAUUUUUUGUAGUAGCGAUAUAUCAUAAAUCAUAAACAUAUGACUAUAAAAAUGUAUAUCAUAUAGGACUACAAUAUUAAUGGUCAUUAACUCAUUAACAUGGUAAAACUAUCUAGGUCCUCUGUCUACUAAUCGAGGUAGGUUAGAUCACACUAUAGUAUAUGAUAACCCAUCUAGGUCCUCUGUCUACUAAUCGAGGUAGGGUAAAUCAUAACCUAAACCAUGAAAAUGAUAAAAAUUCUUGGGGCUUGCUAUCUAAGCAAGUCAUAUGCCCAAGCAACUAGAAAAUAUAUUCAUACAUAUACAUAUCAUGACAUAAAACAUAUCAUAACAUAAACAUAUAAACACAUAUCAUCUAACCUAUUUUCCUUACAAAAAACUGGGAUAUUUGGGAACAAGAACGGGAUUUGGAACACUCCUAAAACCAACAGUAGAACCAUCAGUUUCUAAAGAAAAAGAGAUGAAAGAGAACUAAACCAUCAAAGAAGAAACUUAUCGAAAAGAACCUUAAGUUUCAAGAAACAUAAACACCUAACCAAGAAUCAUAAACAAUAGUUAGGAUCUGAAAGAAAAUAAAAGAAAACUAAAGAACCGUGAAGAUAUGAACUUAAGGAUAGGAAUACCUUGAAUAAAUAUGACUUGAUAUACACCUCGAUGCAAAAAUAACACUAUAUUUUACUUCCCAAGUGUUUAGAAAAGCUUAGAUUAGAAAAGUUUUUUAACCCAAAACCCAAGUGUUUCUCUCUAUAGUAAACUUAGCAUCUUGGAGAUUCUGAACAAUGCUUGAAUGAUGAAUGAAAUGGCUGAGUACUAGGUCCUAUUUAUAGAGUUCAAGGAUAGAAACUAACCCCUUUUAAUUUGAAUAAAUAAAUUAAUAUAAAAUUUAUGCCACCCAUCUCGCGUGCCCAGGCCCGUGCCUCAUAGGAAGGCCUCGCGCCACCAGCCGCGUACCUCGCUAGCGUGCUUCACAGGAGGGCCUCGCGCGCCACCCAUCUCGCAUGCCUCGCUUGCGUGCCCAGGCCCAUGCCUUGCAGGAAGGCCUCGCCCCACCAAACACAUGUGUAACGAACCAAAUUUGCUAAUAAGGCUUAAGGGCCUUGAUUAGUGUGCCUGGAGGGCAUAAUGGGAAUUAUGUGUGGUUUUAAUGAUUAAGAUGUAUGAUUAUGAUUUAAAGCAUGUUAUAUGAUUAUUUGAAUAUUUGAGAUGCAUGAAUAUGUGUAGUAGUAUGCAUGUAGGCCCUGAUUAGGUUAGAAGGGCAUAAUUGUAAUUUUGGCCAUUAUGGGCAUGACUGCUUUGAUAUAUGUGAUAAUUGUCGAGACCACAUUAUUAUGUGGAUAUAUCUGUGGUCUGUGACUCGAGACGAUCCUAGUGAGCAAAGUAGCGAAAAAGUCAUGGUGGGGAUUUAUACCCGACUCGAGGUGAGCUUAGGGGUAUAAAUGGGAAUUUAGUGAAUAUACUGGGGUCUAUCUUGACAUUGAGGAAAAUUAUUGGUGAUUAAUUAGGUAUCGGGAAUUAAGCAGGAAAUAUUAGAGACACUAGAGGAGUUAGCGGGAAUUGGGUAAAAUGACUAGAAUGCCCUUAAGUGGAUUAAAGGGUUAGGAAUAAAGGGGAGGGCAUUAGGGUCAUUUGGCUUUUUAAGGAUGGAAUUACUGAGACUUUAUGUUAGUGGGAAGUGUAGAGAAGUGUAGAAGUCUGAAAGAGAGAAAAGAAGAAAAAGGAAGGAAAAAGAAAGGGAGAAAAACAGAGAGAGUUCUCUAAGGUCGGUUUAAGCUUCCUUCAUCAGUUUCUUGAGGAUUUCUGGAGCAAAGCUCAGAGGAGAGCUGGGAUAGACUGAACAUCAAGGAUCCUAAGCUAGGGUUGAGGAAUUGGCAGAGGUUUACCAAGAGGUCACUAACACUUGAGGGAAUUCAGGCCUAAGGCUGAGGAGGAGCAAAUCAAGGAAGUCUAGAGGCAACUUGUGGUCGAAAUCCCAUCACAGGUAAAGGCAAGGGCAAGUUGGACCAAUCCUGAGGUGGAGAGUUGCGGGGUUAAAUGUACGUAGCCAGCUGUUCGACCGCCAUGGUCAAGGAGUGGGUCAGGACAGGGAUUGCCUAACUAUCUGUUUUGCCUUAGUAUGGCUUAAUAUUGUAUACAAACCUUGUGUCUUUUGUAAACGGUCUUUAAACUUAAUAUUUUUGGGAUCCUGUGUAAACAGAUGAUGCUUCUUAAUAAAAAUGCGGCUUUUGAGACCAAAACACU